UAACAAAUUACUGGCGUAGAAAUUAUUAAAUUGGGGUGUGAUUACCAUACCUGAGUGACUGACUGCAAUAAUUAUUCACUAUGAUUCUGAUGAUAAUUUUUAGUUCUUUCAUCACUGCCUCUGAAUUAAUGUGCUAUUAAUUGGGUGGAUAGGACCAAGUGAUGAGUUUGGUGCUAUGUUGGUUUAAUAUUUAGUUUUAUUGACUAUCAAAUAAUUUCAAGUUUUGUUUGUCCACCUUACCUUUUCAGAUAAUCUUGGAGAAGAUUGCCCUAUCUUUGAAAACCUGUUUCAGUUCUAUCAAAUUUAUGCUGGUGGAACUAUAGAUGCUGCACGUAGAUUGAACAAUCGGCUUUGUGACAUUGCCAUAAAUUGGGCUGGUGGACUACAUCAUGCCAAGAAGUGCGAGGCAUCUGGUUUUUGUUACAUCAAUGACUUGGUUUUGGGGAUUUUGGAGCUUCUAAAAUAUCAUCCACGUGUUCUAUACAUUGGUAUAGAUGUGCAGCAUGGUGAUGGUGUUGAAGAAGCAUUCUAUUUUACAGACAGACCAAUUAUUGCUUGCUGAAUCUGUUAACGCACAAUCAUAAGAAGGGCAUCAAGAAAGAAGCCUGUUGAACAAUCUCAAACAUUACUGCUGGAAACAAGGAAUAGAUACAGGUAAGCUUUCAAAUAUUUG